rnacentral:rRNA from 1 species
CGUAGGUGGUUUGUCGCGUCGCCUGUGAAAUCCCGGGGCUUAACUUCGGGCGUGCAGGCGAUACGGGCAUAACUUGAGUGCUGUAGGGGAGACUGGAAUUCCUGGUGUAGCGGUGAAAUGCGCAGAUAUCAGGAGGAACACCGAUGGCGAAGGCAGGUCUCUGGGCAGUAACUGACGCUGAGGAGCGAAAGCAUGGGUAGCGAACAGGAUUAGAUACCCUGGUAGUCCAUGCCGUAAACGGUGGGCGCUAGGUGUAGGGGGCUUCCACGUCUUCUGUGCCGUAGCUAACGCAUUAAGCGCCCCGCCUGGGGAGUACGGCCGCAAGGCUAAAACUCAAAGGAAUUGACGGGGGCCCGCACAAGCGGCGGAGCAUGUGGAUUAAUUCGAUGCAACGCGAAGAACCUUACCUGGGCUUGACAUGUACCGGAUCGGGCUAGAGAUAGUCUUUCCCUUGUGGUCGGUAUACAGGUGGUGCAUGGUUGUCGUCAGCUCGUGUCGUGAGAUGUUGGGUUAAGUCCCGCAACGAGCGCAACCCUUGUCUUAUGUUGCCAGCACGUUAUGGUGGGAACUCAUGAGAGACUGCCGGGGUUAACUCGGAGGAAGGUGGGGAUGACGUCAAAUCAUCAUGCCCCUUAUGUCCAGGGCUUCACACAUGCUACAAUGGUCGAUACAAUGGGCAGCGACAUCGUGAGGUGAAGCGAAUCCCUGAAAGUCGGCCUUAGUUCGGAUUGGGGUCUGCAACUCGACCCCAUGAAGUCGGAGUCGCUAGUAAUCGCAGAUCAGCAACGCUG